CUUUGGGAUAACUCCGAGAAAUCGGGGCUAAUACUGGAUAUGACCUUGGCCCGCAUGGGUUGUGGUGGAAAGUUUUUCGGUGGGGGAUGGGCUCGCGGCCUAUCAGUUUGUUGGUGAGGUAGUGGCUCACCAAGGCGAUGACGGGUAGCCGGCCUGAGAGGGCGACCGGCCACACUGGGACUGAGACACGGCCCAG
rnacentral:rRNA from 1 species